AGCUCCAAUAGCGUAUAUUAAAUUUGCUGCGGUUAAAAAGCUCGUAGUUGUAUUUCAGCUCAUGUCAAACAGUCCAUCAAUAGUAACCCAAUUCUUUAUUGAAUUGGGACCACUUACGAUUGAGGAAUAAACCUGUUUGACUGAGCAACACCGAUUUGUUCAAUAAUGCUUUUUACCGAGUGUUAUUAGCGAUCGGUAUCUUUACUUUGAAGAAAUUAGAGUGCUCAAAGCAGGCGUUUAAAGCCUGAAUAUUAUUGCAUGGAAUAAUGGAAUAGGACCUAGGUUCUAUUCUGUUGGUCUUAUAAUGAACCUCAGGUAAUGAUUAAGAGGGACAGACGGGGGCAUUCGUAUUGCGGCGCUAGAGGUGAAAUUCUUGGACCGCCGCAAGACGAACUACAGCGAAAGCAUUUGUCAAGAAUGUUUUCAUUAAUCAAGAACGAAAGUUAGAG
rnacentral:rRNA from 1 species